rnacentral:tRNA from 1 species
ACCAGGUAGUUUACGCGGUCUUAAACUCCGCUGCCCCUUGGGGGCGUGUGGGUUCGAAUCCCACCCCGGGUA